UACGGAGGAGGCAAGCGUUAUCCGGAAUUAUUGGGCGUAAAGGGCGCGUAGGCGGCCUGAUAAGUAGGGGGUGAAAUCCUGCGGCUUAACCGCAGGGCUGCCUUCUAAACUGUCAGGCUAGAGCACAGUAGAGGCAGGUGGAAUUCCCGGUGUAGCGGUGGAAUGCGUAGAGAUCGGGAAGAACAUCAGUGGCGAAGGCGGCCUGCUGGGCUGUUGCUGACGCUGAGGCGCGACAGCGUGGGGAGCAAAAGGG
rnacentral:rRNA from 1 species